UACGAAGGUCCCAAGCGUUAUCCGGAUUUAUUGGGUUUAAAGGGUGCGUAGGCGGUCUAUUAAGUCAGUGGUGAAAGCCCCAAGCUCAACUUGGGAACUGCCAUUGAUACUGAUGGACUUGAGUACAUUUGAGGUGGGCGGAAUGUGUCAUGUAGCGGUGAAAUGCUUAGAUAUGACACAGAACACCGAUUGCGAAGGCAGCUCACUAA
rnacentral:rRNA from 1 species